rnacentral:tRNA from 1 species
GGGCCGGUCGUCUAGCGGUCAGGACACCCGCCUGACGCGCAGGGUCGUGGGUUCGAAUCCCACCCGGCCCA